UAAGUACUUGAAUAUUUCACUGUCUGAUUAUAUUUUAGCUAGGAGAAGAAGAACAUGCUGCAGAUUCUAUACUUCCUGUGGCUGACAAAAAUAUAGUGGAAGGCAUUUCUAAACUGACUCUAUGCGUCCAGAGGCUUGAAAGACUGAAGAGUUGUAUUCAAAAUCUUCCAAGGACAUGCCCCUCCUUCUGUAGUUAAGCAAGAAAUUAAGAAAGACCAGGAAAAGAGAAGAAAAUUGAGUACUGUAGUGUCAAGUCAUAAAGACCCGAGGACUAUUUUAGAAGAAAUAUGAGAAGAUAAAUGAGUAUCAGCUUCUAGCAGAAGAGAAACAGAUAAUGGAGAAUGAACUUAAAAAAAAAGAAAGAGGAAGAAAACCUAAGACAAGAAGAAGUAAUACCAGCAUAUGGGAAUACCUUUUUAGCGAAGUUGGGAAAAAAAAG
rnacentral:lncRNA from 1 species